rnacentral:sRNA from 1 species
UUUUAGCUGAUGGUUGCGUUAGGGAUAGCAAUGGAAAUCCUUUUUAUGAGGCACGAAUAAAAAGAUUGUAAUGGAUAGCCCGACCCUUG